AGUCUGCAACCCGACUACAUGAAGCUGGAAUCGCUAGUAAUCGCGGAUCAGAAUGCCGCGGUGAAUACGUUCCCGGGUCUUGUACACACCGCCAGUCACACCAUGGGAGUCGGAAAUGCCCGAAGCCGGUGACUCAACCUUUAAGGAGAGAGCCGUCGAAGGCAGGUCUGAUAACUGGGUGAAGUCGUAACAAGGUAUC
rnacentral:rRNA from 1 species